UAAUAUGAAAUAAAUAAAUAAUUUAAAAAAAAGCAAAAUCAAAAAAAUAUACACACGUACAAAAACGGAAAAAAUAUAUACAUACAAAAAGUCUUUUAAAAAAACCAAUGAAGCAAAAAAUCCUUUGUGUUUGUUAAUUUCUUUAUAAAUCAAUUCAUCUUAGACAAAUCUUACCAACUAUCUUGUUAUACCAAAUAUGCAAAAAAAAAAAAAAAAACACCUGAAGAACACUGACGAUGUUAGGAAGGGUCCCUGGUGUAUUUGUGCCAGGCACAGAAACAAAUAAUCAAUACCGAUACAAACGAAGAGAUACACAGUUUUUUUUAUAGAAAUUUUGAUACAAGGAAAUAAUUAAGGAUAUGUUCGAAGUUUCGUUUAAAAAAGUGACACAAGGCUUUAAUUUGAACAGUAAUGUUAAUACUUUUUCAUUGAAAACCUAGCACAAAAAGAUAUGUAUCUAAAAAAUUGUGAUCUUUGAACAAGAAAUAAUUUGAUACCACAAUUCUGUUAUUCAUUUUUGUCUAAAUCAAAUUUCGACAACAGGAAUCAAUCUACAGUAGCAUAUUAUACCUGUUUUCAUUGAAAUCCUAUAACGACAAGAUGUUUUUUCUCAAAAUUUUUAAUUUUGCUACAAAAUUAUUUUCCCCCAAAAAUUAAUAGCUAAUUUUCACACAAAAAAAUAAUAUUCAUUGCUAAAAUUAAAUUUCAUUUUCCAUUGUUUUAAUAUAACAUAAUAAAUUAUCAUGUAAAUUCCUAAAUCAAAAGUGAGAAGCAACACAUAAAGUUACUCACAUUUUCACUAUUUCAUGUAGCAAAAAUAGUUACACUUAAUUUAAAUUGGUUGUAAUUUGAUAAGCCCCGAAUUACUUUUUGUUUUAAUAACACUUCUGUUUUUCAGUUUUCACAAUAUAUAUAUACUAUUCAACCUAUGUCAACAUUUUUUCAGACAAUAAUUAUUCUAUAUUUAAAUUUCAAAAUGUUGGCAUAGGUUGAAUGAACCAUGUGUACACCACUAAAUAACUCUAGAAUUAAAAUGUUUGCUCUGAUAUUGUUCCUUGUGUAAUUUCAAUGAGUAACGAAACAAAUUUGAUUUAAUCAUUUUUUGUGAAAACAGUGACAUAUUUAAGAAUAAUCUAUUAAACAAAAUAAAUGUUAGUACUACUAAAAAAAAUAUUCAGAGAUCUUACUACAGAGUUUAACAGGGCAUAGGACAUUUGAACGAAAAUAAAAAAAAAAUGCACAUAGGGUCAUUUGAGCGUUGAAAUCAUUGGACAUUUAAGCGCCGGAAUAUUAACUUAACCUGGAUUUUCAAAUAGGGCGUCUGAGCUAAAUUUCCUGUGAUACUUC